rnacentral:rRNA from 1 species
AUUGAACGCUGGCGGCAUGUCUUACACAUGCAAGUCGAACGGUAACGGGCCUUCGGGUGCCGACGAGUGGCGAACGGGUGAGUAAUACAUCGGAACGUGCCCGAUCGUGGGGGAUAACGAGGCGAAAGCUUUGCUAAUACCGCAUACGAUCUACGGAUGAAAGCAGGGGACCGCAAGGCCUUGCGCGGACGGAGCGGCCGAUGGCAGAUUAGGUAGUUGGUGGGAUAAAAGCUUACCAAGCCGACGAUCUGUAGCUGGUCUGAGAGGAUGAUCAGCCACACUGGGACUGAGACACGGCCCAGACUCCUACGGGAGGCAGCAGUGGGGAAUUUUGGACAAUGGGCGCAAGCCUGAUCCAGCCAUGCCGCGUGCAGGAUGAAGGCCUUCGGGUUGUAAACUGCUUUUGUACGGAACGAAAAGCCUUCUUUUAAUACAGGAGGGUCAUGACGGUACCGUAAGAAUAAGCACCGGCUAACUACGUG